AUUUUUCAUUGUGAUAAAAUUUGCCAUAUUAAUAAUUUUAAAGUUUACAGUGUAAUAGUAUUAAAUGAAUUCAUAAUGUUAUACAGCUGUCAAAAACAUCAAUCUCCAUAGUUUGUCAUCUUAUAAUAAAACAAAAUCUGUACCCAUUAGACAAUUCCCCAUUCUGCCCUCCCUGAAACUACUGUUCUACUUUUUGUCUCUCUGAUUCUGCUUCUCUGCUUCAUAUAAAUGGAAUCAUAUAGUAUUUGUCUUUCUGUGACUGGCUCAUUUCAUUUUAGCAUAAUGUCCUCAAGGUCCACCUAUGUUAUUCCAUAUGGUAGGAUUUCCUUUUAUGGAAGAAUGAUAAACCAUUGUGUGUAUAUAACAUAUAUUGCUUAUCCCUUUAUCUGUUGAUGGACACUUGGGUUGCUUCCACAUUUUAGCUAUUAUAAAUAUUGCUACUAUAAACAUGAAUAUACAAAUAUUACUUUGAGACCCCUUUUCAAUUUUGGGGGUAUAUACCCAGAGUUGGAAUUUCUGUGUCACACUGUAAUUAAAUUUUAAAAUUUUUUAUGGAACCAUUGCUUAUUCAUUUUUAUCCUCCAAAUGUUGAGACUUUUAUGUAUUAAUGGACAAAACAGGUAAUUUAUACAAGGGGAUUUACAACAAGU
rnacentral:lncRNA from 1 species